rnacentral:rRNA from 1 species
GAUGAACGCUGGCGGCGUGCCUAAUACAUGCAAGUCGAGCGGUAAGGCCCUUCGGGGUACACGAGCGGCGGACGGCUGAGUAACACGUAGGAACGUACCCCAAACUGAGGGAUAAGCACCAGAAAUGGUGUCUAAUACCGCAUGUGGCACACGGGCUAAAGCUCCGGCGGUUUGGGAACGGCCUGCGUCCGAUUAGCUAGUUGGUGAGGUAAUUGCUCCCCAAGGCGACGAUCGGUAGCUGGUCUGAGAGGAUGAUCAGCCAGACUGGGACUGAGACACGGCCCAGACUCCUACGGGAGGCAGCAGUAGGGAAUUUUCCACAAUGGGGGCAACCCUGAUGGAGCAACGCCGCGUGCAGGAUGAAGGCCUUCGGGUUGUAAACUGCUUUUAUCUGUGACGAUUAUGACGGUAGCAGAUGAAUAAGGACCUGCUAACUACGUGCCAGCAGCCGCAGUAA